UACAGAGGGUGCAAGCGUUGUUCGGAAUUAUUGGGCGUAAAGCGCACGUAGGCGGCUUAGCAAGUUGGAUGUGAAAUCCCUCGGCUCAACCGGGGAACUGCGUCUGAGACUGGAAGGCUUGAAUCCGGGAGAGGGAUGUGGAAUUCCAGGUGUAGCGGUGAAAUGCGUAGAUAUCUGGAGGAACACCCGUGGCGAAGGCGGCUCUCUGGAACGCAACUGACGCUGAGACGCGAAAGCGUGGGGGAGCAAACAGG
rnacentral:rRNA from 1 species